ACAGUACAAACUGAACAGGCAAUAGGGUUUUAGAAAAGCCAUAUGUAGCCGGGUCGUGAGAAUGACAGCAGAAGCUUAGAUAAGCACAUCUGCGGGACAGU
rnacentral:ncRNA from 1 species